rnacentral:lncRNA from 1 species
UACUGCCAUAUUUCCAUUUUUUCCCCAUUACUUUUGGCCCCUUUUACCUAUUUAUCAGCCCCUUUUCCCAGUUUUUCAGCCCUUUUCCCACUUUUCCAGCCCUUUUCCCACUUUUUCCAUCCCCAUUUCCCACCCCGGCCCAGCGCCAGGUCGGCCAGCGCGAAGGAGGCGCGGGGCGCCGGGAUCAUCCUGCAACGACACCAUUGGCUCCAUUUUUGAGGUUCUUCCCGUUUUUUGGAAUUUUUUCCCAAUUUUUUCCCAUUUUUUGGGGUAUUUUUUCCCAUUUUUUCCCAAUUUUUUCCCAUUUUUUCCUCAUUUUUUUCACCAUUUUUUCCCGUUUUUUCCCCCACUUUUCUGCCAUUCUUCCAUUUUUUCCCACAAUUUUCAGCCCCUUUUUCCUUAUUUAUCAGCCCCUUUCCCAUCCCUUUUUCCCACAUUUUUCACCCACUUUUCCCUAUUUUCUAGACAGUUUUCCAUAUUUUUUUACAUUUUUCCAUCAUUUCUGGCCCUUUUUUCCCUAUUUUUCAACCCCUUUCCCAUCCCUUUUUCCCAAGUUUUUCACCCACUUUUCCCAGUUUUCCAUCCCCAUUCCCCACAUUUUCCGUCAUUUCCCCCAAUUUUUUGGGAGGUUUUCCCAAUUUUUCCUCAUUUCUCAGGGUUUUUUUCCCAAUUUUUUCCUGCUUUGUCCACCAUUUUUCCUUUUUCCCACAAUUUUUGGCCCUUUUUUCCUUAUUUUCCCAAUUUCCCACCCAUUUCUCCACCUUCCCCACUGUUUUUCACAUUUUCCAUCCCCUUUUCCCCACUUUCCACACAUUUUUCUACAUUUCCCGCCCAUUUUUUUCACAUUUUCCAUCCUUUUUUCCACAUUUUACCCCCUUUUCCAUAUUUUCCACCCCUUUUCCUUGUUUUCCACACAUUCUUCCCCAUUUCCCACCCAUUUAUUCACAUUUCCCACUCAUUUUUCCCCAUUUCCCAUUUUUGUUCACAUUUUCCAUCCCCUUUUCCCCAUUUCCCACCCGUUUUUUCACACUUUCCAUCCCCUUUUCCACAUUUUUUCCCCAUUUCCCACCCAUUUUUCCCACCCAUUAUUUCACAUUUUCCACCUAUUUUUUACAUUCCCCCUUCACCCCAUUUCCAACCCAUUUCCCCAUUUC